rnacentral:rRNA from 1 species
GCCAGCAGCCAUAUCACCCUGCAACUCAGCAAGCUUAGCAGGUGUGAGCCUGGUCAGUACCUGGAUGGGAGACCUCCUGGGAAAAACUAAGGUUGCUGCUGGAA